rfam:Xenopus tropicalis strain Nigerian Chr02_contig_2017, whole genome shotgun sequence.
AAAUUGGUCUUUUUAGAGACCACAACCAUGAUCUGAACCAACUUA